GCCCUGGCAGUCAGAGGCGAUGAAGGACGUGCUAAUCUGCGAUAAGCGUCGGUAAGGUGAUAUGAACCGUUAUAACCGGCGAUUUCCGAAUGGGGAAACCCAGUGUGAUUCGUCACACUAUCAUUAACUGAAUCCAUAGGUUAAUGAGGCGAACCGGGGGAACUGAAACAUCUAAGUACCCCGAGGAAAAGAAAUCAACCGAGAUUCCCCCAGUAGCGGCGAGCGAACGGGGAGGAGCCCAGAGCCUGAAUCAGUGUGUGUGUUAGUGGAAGCGUCUGGAAAGGCGCGCGAUACAGGGUGACAGCCCCGUACACAAAAAUGCACAUGCUGUGAGCUCGAUGAGUAGGGCGGGACACGUGGUAUCCUGUCUGAAUAUGGGGGGACCAUCCUCCAAGGCUAAAUACUCCUGACUGACCGAUAGUGAACCAGUACCGUGAGGGAAAGGCGAAAAGAACCCCGGCGAGGGGAGUGAAAAAGAACCUGAAACCGUGUACGUACAAGCAGUGGGAGCACAGAGCAAUCUGUGUGACUGCGUACCUUUUGUAUAAUGGGUCAGCGACUUAUAUUCUGUAGCAAGGUUAACCGAAUAGGGGAGCCGAAGGGAAACCGAGUCUUAACUGGGCGUUAAGUUGCAGGGUAUAGACCCGAAACCCGGUGAUCUAGCCAUGGGCAGGUUGAAGGUUGGGUAACACUAACUGGAGGACCGAACCGACUAAUGUUGAAAAAUUAGCGGAUGACUUGUGGCUGGGGGUGAAAGGCCAAUCAAACCGGGAGAUAGCUGGUUCUCCCCGAAAGCUAUUUAGGUAGCGCCUCGUGAAUUCAUCUCCGGGGGUAGAGCACUGUUUCGGCAAGGGGGUCAUCCCGACUUACCAACCCGAUGCAAACUGCGAAUACCGGAGAAUGUUAUCACGGGAGACACACGGCGGGUGCUAACGUCCGUCGUGAAGAGGGAAACAACCCAGACCGCCAGCUAAGGUCCCAAAGUCAUGGUUAAGUGGGAAACGAUGUGGGAAGGCCCAGACAGCCAGGAUGUUGGCUUAGAAGCAGCCAUCAUUUAAAGAAAGCGUAAUAGCUCACUGGUCGAGUCGGCCUGCGCGGAAGAUGUAACGGGGCUAAACCAUGCACCGAAGCUGCGGCAGCGACACUAUGUGUUGUUGGGUAGGGGAGCGUUCUGUAAGCCUGUGAAGGUGUGCUGUGAGGCAUGCUGGAGGUAUCAGAAGUGCGAAUGCUGACAUAAGUAACGAUAAAGCGGGUGAAAAGCCCGCUCGCCGGAAGACCAAGGGUUCCUGUCCAACGUUAAUCGGGGCAGGGUGAGUCGACCCCUAAGGCGAGGCCGAAAGGCGUAGUCGAUGGGAAACAGGUUAAUAUUCCUGUACUUGGUGUUACUGCGAAGGGGGGACGGAGAAGGCUAUGUUGGCCGGGCGACGGUUGUCCCGGUUUAAGCGUGUAGGCUGGUUUUCCAGGCAAAUCCGGAAAAUCAAGGCUGAGGCGUGAUGACGAGGCACUACGGUGCUGAAGCAACAAAUGCCCUGCUUCCAGGAAAAGCCUCUAAGCAUCAGGUAACAUCAAAUCGUACCCCAAACCGACACAGGUGGUCAGGUAGAGAAUACCAAGGCGCUUGAGAGAACUCGGGUGAAGGAACUAGGCAAAAUGGUGCCGUAACUUCGGGAGAAGGCACGCUGAUAUGUAGGUGAAGCGACUUGCUCGUGGAGCUGAAAUCAGUCGAAGAUACCAGCUGGCUGCAACUGUUUAUUAAAAACACAGCACUGUGCAAACACGAAAGUGGACGUAUACGGUGUGACGCCUGCCCGGUGCCGGAAGGUUAAUUGAUGGGGUCAGCGCAAGCGAAGCUCUUGAUCGAAGCCCCGGUAAACGGCGGCCGUAACUAUAACGGUCCUAAGGUAGCGAAAUUCCUUGUCGGGUAAGUUCCGACCUGCACGAAUGGCGUAAUGAUGGCCAGGCUGUCUCCACCCGAGACUCAGUGAAAUUGAACUCGCUGUGAAGAUGCAGUGUACCCGCGGCAAGACGGAAAGACCCCGUGAACCUUUACUAUAGCUUGACACUGAACAUUGAGCCUUGAUGUGUAGGAUAGGUGGGAGGCUUUGAAGUGUGGACGCCAGUCUGCAUGGAGCCGACCUUGAAAUACCACCCUUUAAUGUUUGAUGUUCUAACGUUGACCCGUAAUCCGGGUUGCGGACAGUGUCUGGUGGGUAGUUUGACUGGGGCGGUCUCCUCCUAAAGAGUAACGGAGGAGCACGAAGGUUGGCUAAUCCUGGUCGGACAUCAGGAGGUUAGUGCAAUGGCAUAAGCCAGCUUGACUGCGAGCGUGACGGCGCGAGCAGGUGCGAAAGCAGGUCAUAGUGAUCCGGUGGUUCUGAAUGGAAGGGCCAUCGCUCAACGGAUAAAAGGUACUCCGGGGAUAACAGGCUGAUACCGCCCAAGAGUUCAUAUCGACGGCGGUGUUUGGCACCUCGAUGUCGGCUCAUCACAUCCUGGGGCUGAAGUAGGUCCCAAGGGUAUGGCUGUUCGCCAUUUAAAGUGGUACGCGAGCUGGGUUUAGAACGUCGUGAGACAGUUCGGUCCCUAUCUGCCGUGGGCGCUGGAGAACUGAGGGGGGCUGCUCCUAGUACGAGAGGACCGGAGUGGACGCAUCACUGGUGUUCGGGUUGUCAUGCCAAUGGCACUGCCCGGUAGCUAAAUGCGGAAGAGAUAAGUGCUGAAAGCAUCUAAGCACGAAACUUGCCCCGAGAUGAGUUCUCCCUGACUCCUUGAGAGUCCUGAAGGAACGUUGAAGACGACGACGUUGAUAGGCCGGGUGUGUAAGCGCAGCGAUGCGUUGAGCUAACCGGUACUAAUGAACCGUGAGGCUUAACCUU
rnacentral:rRNA from 1 species